GGCAACAUGGCCGAGUUGGUCUAUGGCGCUGCAUUCAAGAGAAUUGAACUCUUCCGUGUUCCGAGCACUGAAUUUCGCAGUCUCGAAAGAGGCCAGGGUUCGAAUCCCUGUGUUGUCA